CCAUCCGGAAUAACAAACGAACAAAAUUAGAUUUCUGGUAGAUCCUGAACAAAAAAAGAUGGCGUUCCUUUUUUUCACAUCUGAAGCUUAAUUCUCUUGGGAUUGUCUUCUUCAUUAUAUUUACUAGUAGUACUACUUUAUUUCUCAUGCCAAUUAAUCAAAUAAUCACCCUGGUUAUUUGUAAGGGCAGUGAAGUUGGAUACAAAACCCCAAUUCCAGAAAAGUUUUGGGGGAUAAAUGGUGGAUUUGGGUAUUUCUUGAUGAUUGUGUUAUAAUCAAAGGAAAUGAUUCUAGGUAUUCAACACCGGGAUUGUGGUCAACUCCUUUGACGACUCUGUAUAAUGGAAAAGUCUGUGUGAUUGACUCGUUAAUACUCAAGUUCUAAGUUAAUUGAUUUGACAUAAGAUUCAUGAAUUAAUUUGGGAAUUUUAUGUUGAUUGAUUAGUGGAGUGGAGAUGAUAAUGAAAAUUGAUUUAGAAGGAUACUACUGUUACUGGUAUGAAGCAUGGGAGAAGGAUAAGAAUUAAGAAGAUGAACAUGGUGAAGGGUGGUCCUUAAAAUGAAGUAUAGAUAUCUGUGGAAGCUAUUUUAAUUUUGUAAAAUUAAAGUAGAGGACCUAUUUUCAAUUAUAUCAAUGACACAGUUGGACAUUUA